GACGAACGCUGGCGGCGUGCUUAACACAUGCAAGUCGAACGGAAAGGCCCUGCUUUGGUGGGGUGCUCGAGUGGCGAACGGGUGAGUAACACGUGAGUAACCUGCCCUUGACUUUGGGAUAACUUCAGGAAACUGGGGCUAAUACCGGAUAGGAGCUCCUGCUGCAUGGUGGGGGUUGGAAAGUUUCGGCGGUUGGCGAUGGACUCGCGGCUUAUCAGCUUGUUGGUGGGGUAGUGGCUCACCUCGGCUUUGACAGGAAGCCGGCCUGACAGGGUGACCGGACACGUUGCGACUGAAAUGCGGCCCAGACUCCUACCGGAGGCAACGCUGGGGAAUAUUGCCCACUGGGCGGAAGCCUGAUGCAACCACGCCGCGUGCGGGGAGACAGCCUUCGGGUCGGAAACCGCUUUCCCCUGUGACGAAACGAGAGAGACGGAAAUGGGAAAAGAAGCACCGGCUAACUACCUGACAGCAGCAGCGUGAUUAAUAGGUAGCGAGCGUGCUCUGGACUUAUUGGUCGUAAAGGAAUCGUAGGCGGUCGAUCAGAUCAGAUGUGUAAUCAUAGGGCUGACCUAUGAGCGUGCAUUCGAUACGGGUUGUCUUGAGGAAGGUAGAGGAGAAGAGAAUUACUGGCGGAGCGGUCGAAUGCGCAGAUAUAUGGAGGAACACCGGUGGCGAAAGCGGCUCUCUGGUCUGCAUCUGACGGUGAGGAGCGAAAGCGUGGGGAGCGAACAGGCUUAGAUACCCUGGUAGUUCAUGCUGUAAACGGUGGGUAAUAGGUGUGGGGUCCUUUCCAUGGGUUCCGCACCGUAGCUAACGCAUUAAGUACCCCUCAUGGGGAGUACGACCGCAAGGCUAAAACUCAAAGGAAUUGACGGGGGCCCGCACAACCGGCGGAGCAUGCAGGAUUAAUUAGAUGCAACGCGUAGAACCUUACCAGGUCUUGACAUGGAUCGGGAGUGCUCAGAGAUGGGUAGUGCCUCUUCCGCACACCGGCGACACGUGGUGCAUGGUUGUCGUCAUGCUCGUGUCGUGAGAUGAUGGGUUAAGUCCCGCAACGAGCGCAACCCUCGUUCACUGUAGCCAGCACGAUAUGGUGGGCACUCUAACUAGACUGCCGGGGUCAACUCGGAGGAAGGUGGGGAUGACGUCAAGUCAUCAUGCCCCUUAUGUCCAGGGCUACACGCAUGCUACAAUGGCUGGUACAGAGAGUGGCGAGCCUGUGAGGGUGAGCGAAUCUUGGAAAACCCGUCUCAGUUCGGAUUGGGGUCUGCAACUUGACCUCAAGAAGUUGGAGUCGCUAGUAAUCGCAGAUCAGCAACGCUGCGGUGAAUACGUUCCCGGGCCU
rnacentral:rRNA from 1 species